GUGGGGAAUCUUGCGCAAUGGGCGAAAGCCUGACGCAGUCAUGCCGCGUGAAUGAUGAAGGUCUUAGGAUUGUAAAAUUCUUUCACCGGGGACGAUAAUGACGGUACCCGGAGAAGAAGCUCCGGCUAACUUCGUGCCAGCAGCCGCGGUAAUACGAAGGGGGCUAGCGUUGCUCGGAAUUACUGGGCGUAAAGGGCGCGUAGGCGGACAGCUUAGUCAGAGGUGAAAGCCCAGGGCUCAACCUUGGAAUUGCCUUUGAUACUGGCUGUCUUGAGUUUGGGAGAGGUGAGUGGAACUCCGAGUGUAGAGGUGAAAUUCGUAGAUAUUCGGAAGAACACCAGUGGCGAAGGCGACUCACUGGCCCAAUACUGACGCUGAGGCGCGAAAGCGUGGGGAGCAAACAGGAUUAGAAACCCUAGUAGUCC
rnacentral:rRNA from 1 species